GGUCAGGACGAACGCUGGCGGCGUGCCUAAUACAUGCAAGUCGAACGGUCUUUCUAUGGAAGCUUGCUUCCACUGAGAAGAUAGUGGCGAAACGGGUGAGUAACACGUGGGUAACCUGCCCAUAAGAGGGGGGAUGACAUCCGGAAACGGGUGCUAAUACCGCAUAGUUUUCUUGAUCGCAUGAUCGGGAGAGGAAAGACGGCCUUUGUGCUGUCGCUUAUGGAUGGACCCGCGGCGUAUUAGUUAGUUGGUGAGGUAACGGCUCACCAAGACGAUGAUACGUAGCCGACCUGAGAGGGUGAUCGGCCACAUUGGGACUGAGACACGGCCCAAACUCCUACGGGAGGCAGCAGUAGGGAAUCUUCCGCAAUGGACGAAAGUCUGACGGAGCAACGCCGCGUGAGUGAAAGAAGGUUUUCGGAUCGUAAAACUCUGUUGUCAGAGAAGAACAAGUUGGAGAGUAACUGCUCCAGCCUUGACGGUAUCUGACCAGAAAGCCACGGCUAACUACGUGCCAGCCGCCGC
rnacentral:rRNA from 1 species